GGUCGUAUAGCUCAGACGGUAGAGCACAGUGCUAAUAACGCUGCGGUCCAGAUUUCGAGCCCCUAUGUGACCA
rnacentral:tRNA from 1 species